UGGAAAAUAACUACCUUUCAUACAUUUUAUGCCCCUUAUUGUAAAGUACCUAAACAAAACUAUACUUAUGCUAAGGAAAGAUUAUGAUUACAAAUAGGCAAUUGUAACAAUUAUAAUUUCUAGUUCUUUUGAUUUAAUGGAGUUGCAAAAGAUAGUUAUUUUCUUGGUAGAUACUCUACUUAGCUCAACUUAGUUGUGUGAAUUGCUAGAAUAUAAAUAAUUCACAAUAACCAUAUUAUGUACAAACAUUUGAAGAAUACAAAUGUUUUCCUUGUAGGUUGUGGCAUAUGGGGACCGGGCUAGAUGAGCACACACUCAAGCAUGAAGACAUGAAUAAAUAGAGGUGGAGAGGUGACCUAAUGGAUAGAUAUUGGAUGUGGCAAACUUGAUAGAUUUCACUUUCGAAGAACUAAAGGUAGCAACUAGAAAUUUCAGAGCUAAAUCUAUAUUAGGAGAGAGGCUUUGGUAGGGUGUACAAGGAUUGGCUUAAAGGGAUUAUAUUGUGUACUUUAAAUUUGGCAGGGAUUUUAAUGUGGCAAACUUAUAUUAUAUUGUGUACUUUAAAUUUCUUAUACAGUUAUUGUUUAUGGAUUGAAUUAUUUGUUAAUAAAAAUUUCACUUGCGAGUCAA